UACGUAGGGUGCAAGCGUUGUCCGGAAUCAUUGGGCGUAAAGCGCGCGUAGGUGGCUUCGUAAGUCCGUUGUGAAAGUCAAAGGCUCAACCUUUGAAUGCCGAUGGAUACUGCGAAGCUAGAGUACGGAAGAGGCGAGUGGAAUUCCUGGUGUAGCGGUGGAAUGCGCAGAUAUCAGGAGGAACACCAAUAGCGAAGGCAGCUCGCUGGGACGUUACUGACACUAAGGCGCGAAAGCGUGGGGAGCGAACAGG
rnacentral:ncRNA from 3 species